UGGAAGGGCAGUGAAAUGGCAGAGAUAGAAGAGGGUGGUGAGGAAACUCAAAGGAAUCGCAGAACGAACUGAGAAAGACAACAACACACAGAUCUGUUGGUAAUGUUGGAGAACGCAACAUAAACCCUCCAAACAGACAGAAAUUUGACAGAGAGAAUUAGUGAACCGCUGCAAGUGUUACUCAGAGUAGAGUAAGACAGUGGGAUGCAGAGAGAGACCAGAAUUUGAGAUAACUAUCAGAGAUGGUAUCUGAAAGCUAGGGCUGCAGCGAAAGGGGCUUCCAUGACGGCAGAGAUCGGAGGAGACAUGGAGGCAAAGGAAGGCACGAAACAGGGAUGAGAAAGUUUCAGGUUAUUGUUGAGCUCAAUUGUUCUCUGCAAACUUCCUUGAAUGUGGGGGUUUUAUCAAUGGGUGUUACAAGUGCACAGCCAUAAACAAUUUGAAUCCUUACACACCAACCAGAAUGUUGUCUAAAAGAAAACCGCUUUACAGAUUCCCGUUCAUUCCCGUGUCUGUCCUUGUCAUAUGCCUCUCGUUCUUGUUGUUGUUCUAUUACUAUGCGAAACCUAGUGCUCAGAUCUCUAGAUUGUCCAAUAUUUCAACAUCUCAUACCCCUCAAUGCUCCAGCCAAGCCCUUACCUUAGGGGAGAAAUUCAUGUGGUAUGCACCUCACAGCGGGUUCAGCAACCAACUUUCAGAGUUCAAGAAUGCUAUUCUAAUGGUUGGCAUACUGAAUCGAACUUUGGUGGUUCCUCCUAUUCUGGAUCACCAUGCUAUUGCUUUAGGUAGCUGUCCAAAGUUUCGGGUCGUAGAUCCAAAGGAUAUUCGGAUAUCUGUUUGGGAUCAUGUGAUUGAGCUUGUCCAAAGUCGAAGGUAUAUAUCCAUUGCUGAAAUUAUUGACAUCACAUCAUUAGUUUCUUCCUCUCUUGUUCGAGUGAUUGAUCUUAGGGAUUUUGUAUCGAUAUGGUGUGGCAUCAGCUUAGAUUUGGCUUGCGUAGCAGAUACAAAGUUGCAUUCCCCUGUUUCUAAAAGCCUUAACCAAUGUGGAUCUCUGCUAGCUGGGCUUCAUGGUAGUAUUGAAAAGUGUAUAUAUGCUGUCAAUGAGGAUUGCAGAACUACAGUAUGGACUUACAAUGAAGAUGGGCAUGGAGACGGUAUGCUAGAUUCAUUUCAACCCGAUGAAAAACUGAAGCAGAAAAAGAAAAUAUCAUAUGUUAGAAGACGGAAGGAUGUAUUUAAGACUCUAGGACCUGGUUCUGAAGCUGAAUCAGCCUCACUGCUGGCAUUUGGAACCCUUUUCUCUGCCACAUACAAAGGUUCUGAACUAUAUGUGGAUAUCCGUGAGUCUAAUCAGAAUCAGAGAUUUCUAUCUCUUAAGGAGAAGACUAAACUUCUUUCCUUUGUCCCAGAAAUUUUGAUAGCUGGAAAGGAGUUUGCUAAACAAACCAUAAGGGCUCCAUUUCUUUGCGCACAACUUAGAUUGUUGGAUGGGCAGUUUAAGAAUCAUCAAAAGGCCACAUUUCAAGGAUUAAGGCAAAAACUAGAAUCUUUAAGGAAGGAAGGUCCUCUACCAAUUCAUAUUUUUAUAAUGACUGAUCUUCCUGGAGAUAAUUGGACUAAUACUUAUUUAGGUGAUUUAGUUAGUGAGAAUCACAAAUAUAAGUUAUACUUUUUGAAAGCGAAUGAUAAGCUGAUUAAGCGAGCAGCUAUAAAACUCAUGACAGCUGGUCAUGGGCAGAGGUUCCUAUCAAAUUCAUAUAGUGUAAUUGGUAACAAGUAUUGUUCCAGUCAGAGAUUGCCAGAUUUACUUCUUUAUGUUGAGCAGACUGUAUGCAGCUGCGCAUCUCUAGGUUUUGUUGGAACACCUGGGUCAACAAUUGCUGAAAACAUAGAACUCAUGAGAAAAUUUAGCUCAAGUUCUCAGAAAUGUUGAUGAUUUUGUGGAAAAGCAGUGAAUGCUGAUAGGGGUUUUAGGAUUGAUGGGGUGGGAGUUCAAUCAUGUUUGUACUAGAAGAUGGUUGAAUACGCCAUGUUCUGAGAUAUCCUUUCCUCAAAUUUUGAUGAUUCGUCAGCUUUGUGAGGCAACAGUCAUCUGUUAGGAGAUAGACACUACAGUCAAGAGCAUUGUUGUUAUUUUAGUGGAGCUGGUGUUUAUGACAUCACAAUGGCUCCAAUGCCUGAGAUUUUGUAUCGUCUGGAGCAAGUUGAAUUGCUACUUCGUGUAAGACAAGAACACUACCAAAUUGUUUCCAGUCACGAUUGUAGUAUGCUUGAGGCGUGCUAAUUUACAAAAGAAUGAAUGUGUAGUUACUUCUGAAUUAUAAUAUAUUGACUGAGGAUUUGUUUGGAUA